AAACUGCGAAUGGCUCAUUAAAUCAGUUAUCGUUUAUUUGAUAGUACCUUACUACUUGGAUAACCGUGGUAAUUCUAGAGCUAAUACAUGCCAAAAACCCCGACUUCGGGAGGGGUGUAUUUAUUAGAUAAAAAACCAAUGCCCUCUGGGCUCUUUGGUGAUUCAUGAUAACUUCGCGGAUCGCAUGGCCUUGCGCCGGCGACGGUUCAUUCAAAUUUCUGCCCUAUCAACUUUCGAUGGUAAGGUAUUGGCUUACCAUGGUCUCAACGGGUAACGGGGGAUUAGGGUUCGACUCCGGAGAGGGAGCCUGAGAAACGGCUACCACAUCCAAGGAAGGCAGCAGGCGCGCAAAUUACCCAAUCCCGACACGGGGAGGUAGUGACAAUAAAUACUGAUACAGGGCUCUUUUGGGUCUUGUAAUCGGAAUGAGUACAAUUUAAAUCCCUUAACGAGGAACAAUUGGAGGGCAAGUCUGGUGCCAGCAGCCGCGGUAAUUCCAGCUCCAAUAGCGUAUAUUAAAGUUGUUGCAGUUAAAAAGCUCGUAGUUGAACCUUGGGCCUGGCUGGCUGGUCCGCCUCACCGCGUGCACUGGCAUGGCCGGGCCUUUCCUCCUGGAGAGCCCCAUGCCCUUCACUGGGCGUGUGGGGGAACCAGGACUUUUACUUUGAAAAAAUUAGAGUGUUCAAAGCAGGCCUUUGCUCGAAUACAUUAGCAUGGAAUAAUGAAAUAGGACGUGCGGUCCUAUUUUGUUGGUUUCUAGGACCGCCGUAAUGAUUAAUAGGGACAGUCGGGGGCAUCCGUAUUCAAUUGUCAGAGGUGAAAUUCUUGGAUUUAUUGAAGACGAACUACUGCGAAAGCAUUUGCCAAGGAUGUUUUCAUUAAUCAGUGAACGAAAGUUAGGGGAUCGAAGACGAUCAGAUACCGUCGUAGUCUUAACCGUAAACUAUGCCGACUAGGGAUCGGGCGAUGUUAUUAUCUUGACUCGCUCGGCACCUUACGAGAA
rnacentral:rRNA from 1 species